rnacentral:tRNA from 2 species
GCGGGUGUGGCGGAAUUGGCAGACGCACCAGACUUAGGAUCUGGCGCCGUACGGCGUGGGGGUUCGACUCCCUUCACCCGCA